rnacentral:rRNA from 1 species
GAUUGACCUCGGAUCAGGUAGGGAUACCCGCUGAACUUAAGCAUAUCAAUAAGCGGAGGAAAAGAAACCAACCGGGAUUGCCUCAGUAACGGCGAGUGAAGCGGCAAGAGCUCAAAUUUGAAAUCUGGCCCCCUCCGGGGUCCGAGUUGUAAUUUGCAGAGGAUGCUUUGGGUGCGGCCCCCGUCUAAGUGCCCUGGAACGGGCCGUCAUAGAGGGUGAGAAUCCCGUCUGGGACGGGGUGUCCGUGCCCGUGUAAAGCUCCUUCGACGAGUCGAGUUGUUUGGGAAUGCAGCUCUAAAUGGGUGGUAAAUUUCAUCUAAAGCUAAAUACUGGCCGGAGACCGAUAGCGCACAAGUAGAGUGAUCGAAAGAUGAAAAGCACUUUGAAAAGAGAGUUAAACAGCACGUGAAAUUGUUGAAAGGGAAGCGCUUGCGACCAGACUCGCCUACGGGGUUCAGCCGGCAUUCGUGCCGGUGUACUUCCCCGUGGGCGGGCCAGCGUCGGUUUGGGCGGUCGGUCAAAGGCCUCCGGAAUGUAUCACCCCCCGGGGUGUCUUAUAGCCGGAGGUGCAAUGCGGCCAGCCUAGACCGAGGAACGCGCUUCGGCUCGGACGCUGGCAUAAUGGUCGUAAGCGACC